rnacentral:rRNA from 1 species
UAGCGUAGGGGGCGAGCGUUGUUCCGGAUUUGAUUGGCGUAAAGAGCUCGUAGGCGGCUUAGCAAGUCGGGUGUGAAAUCCCCAGGCCUAACCUGGGAACUGCAUUCGAGACUGCAUGGCUAGAGUAUCGGAGAGGGAAGUGGAAUUUAGGUGUAGCGGUGAAAUGCGUAGAUAUCUGAAGGAACAUCAGUGGCGAAAGCGACUUCCUGGACGAAUACUGACGCUCAUGUGCGAAAGCGUGGGGAGCAACAGG